rnacentral:rRNA from 1 species
AUGAACGCUGGCGGCGUGCCUAACACAUGCAAGUCGGAUGUGCCGCAAGGUGCAUGGCAGACGGGUGAGUAACGCGUGGGGAAUCUACCUCUUUGUGGGGAAUAACGCUCCGAAAGGAGUGGUAAUACCGCAUGAGAUCCAAGACUGGGAUGUUUUGGAUGAAACCUGGGGACCGCAAGGCCUGGGGCAAGGAGAGGAUCCUGCGUCUGAUUAGCUAGUUGGUGAGGUAAUGGCCCACCAAGGCGACGAUCAGUAGCCGGCCUGAGAGGGUGAUCGGCCACACUGGAACUGAGACACGGUCCAGACUCCUACGGGAGGCAGCAGUGGGGAAUUUUGCGCAAUGGGCGAAAGCCUGACGCAGCAACGCCGCGUGGGUGAUGAAGGUCUUCGGAUCGUAAAACCCUGUCGUCGGGGACGAAGGUGGGCGGGUUAAUAGCCUGUUUGCUUGACGGUACCCGGAGAGGAAGCCCCGGCUAACUCUGUGCCAGCAGCCGCGGUAAUACAGAGGGGGCAAGCGUUAUUCGGAAUUAUUGGGCGUAAAGGGCGCGUAGGCGGCUUUUUAAGUGAGAUGUGUAAUCCCUGAGCUCAACUUGGGAACUGCAUCUCAUACUGGGAGGCUAGAGUACUGGAGAGGGUGGUAGAAUUCCACGUGUAGCGGUGAAAUGCGUAGAGAUGUGGAGGAAUACCAGUGGCGAAGGCGGCCACCUGGACAGUAACUGACGCUGAGGCGCGAAAGUGUGGGUAGCAAACAGGAUUAGAUACCCUGGUAGUCCACACUGUAAACGAUGAACACUUGGUGUGGAGGGAGUUGACCCCUUCCGUGCCGUAGCUAACGCGUUUAAGUGUUUUCCGCC